AAUCGCCCGGAGAUGGAUUCUGAGACACGAAUCCAGACCCCACGGGGUGCAGCAGGCGCGAAAACUUGACAAUGCGAGAAAUCGUGAUCAGGGAACUCCAAUUGACGCAGUUUUUACUGUUGUCUGAACCGACUCUAAAUAGGUCGGGUAAUAGGGGCGGGAAAUAUCGGUGCCAGCCGCCGCGGUAAUACCGAAGCCCCAAGUGGUCGUCGAUCUUAUUGGGCCUAAAACGUCCGUAGCCGGUUUGGUACAUUCGUGGGUAAAUCAGACAGCUUAACUGUCUGAAUUCUGCGAGGACGGCCAAACUUGAGACCGGGAGAGGUGUAGGGUACCUGCGGGGUAGGGGUAAAAUCCUGUCAUCCCGUAGGGACCACCAGUUGCGAAGGCUCUACACUAGAACGGAUCUGACGGUCAGGGACGAAGCCUAGGGGCACGAACCGGAUUAGAUACCCGGGUAGUCCUAGGUGUAAACGCUGUGGACUUUGUGUCGGGGGUCUUUCGAGGACUCUCGGUGCCGGAGUGAAGAUGUUAAGUCCACUGCCUGGGGAGUACGGUCGCAAGGCUGAAACUUAAAGGAAUUGGCGGGGGAGCACCGCAACGAGAGGAGCGUGCGGUUUAAUUGGACUCAACGCCGGA
rnacentral:rRNA from 1 species